rfam:Lupinus angustifolius cultivar Tanjil contig_6109, whole genome shotgun sequence.
AAGCAAUUAAGGUAUUGGCGUGCCUCAAUUUGAACACAUGAUUAUUAUCAAAACCAGCCAUGUAGUUUUAAUUGAGCCGCGUCAAUAUCUUAUUUUUUUUU